CGACCCUCAAGCAUCGCUUGGUGUUGGGCGAGGUCCCUCGGGGACCCACCCGUAACUCGUAGGCGGCCGCCGCCCGUGCCCCCAGCGUAGCAGGCUCACGCACUCGCUCGGGGACGACGCGCGGCCCGCCCGGCAAACCAGACCCCCCCAAAGGU
rnacentral:misc_RNA from 1 species